rnacentral:misc_RNA from 1 species
UUUCCGUAGGUGAACCUGCGGAAGGAUCAUUCAUAAUAAAGUGUUUUAUGGCCCUUUUUAAAAAUCCAUAUACACCUUGUGUGCAAUGUUAGAUCUCGUCAAGCUGUGAGAGAUUUUUAUACAUCAACUCAUUCUUUAACUAAUUUGUCUGAAAACUAUUAUGAAUACUUAAUUCAAAAUACAACUUUCAACAACGGAUCUCUUGGCUCUC